rnacentral:tRNA from 1 species
GCGCUCGUAGCUCAGCUGGAUAGAGUGUCUGACUACGAAUCAGAAGGUCGGGGGUUCGAGUCCCUCCGGGCGCGCCA